rnacentral:rRNA from 1 species
UGCAAGUAUCCGCACCCCAGUGAGAAUACNCUUGCUUNCCUACUGNGAUNUCAAGGAGUCGGUAUCAGGCACACUAACUNUGCCCAAGACACCUAGCCACNGCCACACCCACAAGGGNAUCGCAGCAGUGAUUAACAUUGAACAUAAGCGACAGCUUGAUUCAGUUAAAGUAANAUANAAGCCGGCAAAUUUAGUGCCAGCCGCCGCGGUUACACUAAAAGGCUUAAGUUGACCUCNNCAUCGGCGUAAAGCGUGAUUAAAGNNCUAACAAAGANNNUAAAGUCGAACUAUAACUCAGCUGUAGCACNGCNUUGUUAUCAAGAAGCNCCAANNAACGAAAGUUACUUUAUUUAAAANCAACUUGAACUCACGACAGCUGGGANACAAACUGGGAUUAGAUACCCCACUAUGCCCAGCCGUAAACUUUGAAAUUACAUCCNNUAAUCGCCAGGGAACUACGAGCAAAGCUUAAAACCCAAAGGACUUGACGGUACCCCAUAUCCGGCUAGAGGAGCCUGUCCUGUAAUCGAUAACCCCCGUUUAACCUCACCAUUCUUAGCUCNNAUCAGUCUGUAUACCUCCGUCGUCAGCUUACCCCGUGAGUGUAAUUCCGUAGGCUUAAUGUCCAUAUAAACACAUGCNUUGUUCAACAAUACGUCAGGUCAAGGUGCAACUAAUAGAAUGGGAAGAGAUGGGCUACAUUUUCUAUCCNUAGAACAUANCGAAAAACUUNNUAUGAAACCCUAGUUAGAAGGAGGAUUUAGUAGUAAAAAGAAAAUANGAGAGUUCUUUUGAACUUGGCACUGGGGUGUGU